ACGGAGGGUGCGAGCGUUAAUCGGAAUUACUGGGCGUAAAGCGUACGCAGGCGGUUUGUUAAGCGAGAUGUGAAAGCCCCGGGCUCAACCUGGGAACUGCAUUUCGAACUGGCAAACUAGAGUGUGAUAGAGGGUGGUAGAAUUUCAGGUGUAGCGGUGAAAUGCGUAGAGAUCUGAAGGAAUACCGAUGGCGAAGGCAGCCACCUGGGUCAACACUGACGCUCAUGUACGAAAGCGUGGGGAGCAAACAGG
rnacentral:rRNA from 1 species